rnacentral:ncRNA from 1 species
AAAUAUAUUUUUCAUGGUUAUGCUCAGUAAAGAUUAUUAGUUGUGAAAGGAAUUUUUAACUAGUUAAAAGUAAAGUGUCGGAAAAUAGCGUGCCAGCAGCCGCGGUUAUACGUAAGACACAAGUUAAAAUUUUUUUAUGGGAUUUUAUUUGUAAUUCUGUGUGAUUUAGAUAAGAUUAUUAGGUAAAAUUUUAAUCUUGAAAAAUGAACAUUUUUCAAAUAAUUUAAGGGCGUUUUGAACUAGGAUUAGAUACCCUAUUACUUGCUAAUUAUAAUUUCCCAGAACAUUAAUAUUUAUGAAAUUUAACGGAUUUGGCGGCGAGAUAGCCCAUUAGAGGAACCUGCCCUGUAAACGAUGGUCCACGAUAAACUUGCUAUAUUUUGAAAUCAGUUUGUAUACCGCUGUUGUCGGUUAGUUCUAGUAGGAAACUUUCAGGAAAUGGAUAAUACCAUGGACUUCAAGUAAAGGUGCAGCUAAUAUUAUAGAAAGAGGUGGGUUACAUUUAUUUGAAUAAUACGGAAAGCUGAAUGAAAAAAGGCUGGAAGGUGGAUUUAAUAGUAAAUUCUUGCGGAGAUUUGAUUAGAGCUCUAUCUUGUGUACACACCGCCCGUCGCUCUCAUUUUUAUAUGAGAUAAGUCGUAACAAGGUAAGUGUAAUGGAAAUUGUACUUGAUAAAAGCAAGCUUUUUAAGCAUUUCAUUUACACUGAAAAGGAACUUGUAGUAACAAGGCUUUUAAUUAUGUGUUAAAAAUA